GCCCCAGAAGGUUUUCAAAGAGUAGGGUGGAAAGAUUGUUGCUCCUUCUUCAGUGAUUUUUGCAAUCUGCAAGUCAAGUGCGCCAUGUCUUUAAAUGGUUCGAAAUCAAGCUAAUGUCAGUACUACAAAAAAACAUGUGAAUGCCUGUAGACAGAACUACAUAUAACCAAAUGCAAGGAAAAAAAAGGAUGCGAGACAACUGCAACAAAAGAGUGCGAAAGGAAGUCAUGCACCAGAGGAGUCCCAUUGCUGUCCAUAAGGUGCAUGACCAAUAAGAAGCUUCUCCAUCAUCUUAAUUACAAUAUAAUUCCUCAAAUCAUUGUAAUUACUAAUUGUCAAAAUUUACCAAGCAACUAGUCAGUCCUAGGCACUAUGAAACCGACUUUUCCGCCCACUCCUUCGCUCCCUUCAUGCUCAGUCCUCUGAACAUUUUAUUAGUUUAUAACAUGUAUUUUGAAGUAGAUCAGUAUGUAUGAGGAAUUGCUUCAAAACAAGAAAAAGACAGACCUCAAAUAAACUACUAAUUCAAACACUAGCAGUUCCCAUUUGUCAAGAUAGAAGGCUAAAAUUCUUAAAAAUAUCCACAGAACAGUAGGACAUGUCAUGGGAUCCAAUUUUGACUUAGAACCUGCGCUCCCUUCAAGCUCA